rnacentral:rRNA from 1 species
CAAUUCUGGUUGAUCCUGCCAGAGGCCACUGCUAUCCGGCUGGGACUAAGCCAUGCGAGUCUAGGGGCUUGCCGCAAGGCAAGCACCGGCGGACGGCUCAGUAACACGUGGACAACCUGCCCUCGGGAGGGGGAUAACCCCGGGAAACUGGGGCUAAACCCCCAUAGG